rnacentral:rRNA from 1 species
UACGUAGGGUGCAAGCGUUUGUCCGGAAUUAUUGGGCGUAAAGAGCUCGUAGGCGGCUUGUCGCGUCGGCUGUGAAAGCCUGGGGCUCAACCCCGGGUCGGCCGUGCGAACUGUUUUGCUUGAGCACUGUAGAGGCAGGCGGAAUUCCGGGUGUAGCGGUGGAAUGCGUAGAGAUCCGGAAGAACACCGGUGGCGAAGGCGGCCUGCUGGGCAGUAGCUGACACUGAGGCGCGACAGCGUGGGGAGCAAACAGG